CCUACGGGAGGCAGCAGUGGGGAAUAUUGCACAAUGGGGGAAACCCUGAUGCAGCGACGCCGCGUGAGUGAAGAAGUAAUUCGUUAUGUAAAGCUCUAUCAGCAGGGAAGAAACUCUGACCUUACGGUUAGCAGACGGUAGCUGAGUAAGAACCCCCGGCUAACUACGUGCCAGCAGCCGCGGUAAUACGCAGGGUGCAAGCGUUAACCGGAUUUACUGAGUGUAAAGGGAGCGUAGAGGGUGCGCCAAUUCUGGAGUGAAAUGCCUCGGCUUAACUGCGGAACUGCUUGUGAAAAUGGUGAACUAGAGGUCGGGAGGGGUAAGCGGAAUUCCUAGUGUAGCGGUGAAAUGCGUAGAUAUUAGGAGGAACACCAGUGGCGAAGGCGGCUUACUGGACCGUAACUGACGUUGAGGCUCGAAAGCGUGGGGAGCAAACAGGAUUAGAUACCCCUGUAGUC
rnacentral:rRNA from 1 species